AGGAGGCAGCAGUAAGGAAUUUUGGACAAUGGGGGCAACCCUGAUCCAGCAAUGCCGCGUGAGUGAAGAAGGCCUUCGGGUUGUAAAGCUCUUUUGUCGGGGAAGAAACGGUGGGGGCUAAUAUCCUCUGCUAAUGACGGUACCUGAAGAAUAAGCACCGGCUAACUACGUGCCAGCAGCCGCGGUAAUACGUAGGGUGCAAGCGUUAAUCGGAAUUACUGGGCGUAAAGCGUGCGCAGGCGGUUAUAUAAGUUUGAUGUGAAAGCCCUGGGCUCAACCUAGGAAUGGCAUUGAAUACUGUAUAGCUAGAGUAUGUCAGAGGGGGGUAGAAUUCCACGUGUAGCAGUGAAAUGCGUAGAGAUGUGGAGGAAUACCGAUGGCGAAGGCAGCCCCCUGGGAUGAUACUGACGCUCAUGCACGAAAGCGUGGGGAGCAAACAGGAUUAGAAACCCGAGUAGUCCC
rnacentral:rRNA from 1 species